GAUGAAGAACGCAGCGAAAUGCGAUAAGUAAUGUGAAUUGCAGAAUUCAGUGAAUCAUCGAAUCUUUGAACGCACAUUGCGCCCGCCAGUAUUCUGGCGGGCAUGCCUGUCCGAGCGUCAUUUCAACCAUCAAGCCCCCGGGCUUGUGUUGGGGACCUGCGGCUGCCCGCAGGCCCUGAAAACCAGUGGCGGGCUCGCUGUCACACCGAGCGUAGUAGCAAUCACCUCGCUCAGGGCGUGCUGCGGGUUCCGGCCGUUAAACCACCCUUUUAACCCAAGGUUGACCUCGGAUCAGGUAGGAAGACCCGCUGAACUUAAGCAUAUCAAUAAGCGGAGGA
rnacentral:misc_RNA from 1 species